UACAGAGGUCUCAAGCGUUGUUCGGAUUCAUUGGGCGUAAAGGGUGCGUAGGUGGCGCGGUAAGUCGGGUGUGAAAUUUCGGAGCUUAACUCCGAAACUGCAUUCGAUACUGCCGUGCUUGAGGACUGGAGAGGAGACUGGAAUUUACGGUGUAGCAGUGAAAUGCGUAGAUAUCGUAAGGAAGACCAGUGACGAAGGCGGGUCUCUGGACAGUUCCUGACACUGAGGCACGAAGGCCAGGGGAGCAAACGGG
rnacentral:rRNA from 1 species